GAAGAGGUAGAAUAAUGAAGUUCUCUAUAUUUACACUGUAGUAAGUCAAGUUUGUUUACUUGUCUCUUUU
rnacentral:tRNA from 1 species